AAACGGAAGCAUCAAGACCGUGUAACUCGGGCUCCUCAGUCAAGAGCGUAUCUUUAUUCUUACCACGGAGCCUGAAUCAGAUACUUAAAAACUACCACCAGUUCAGUCAGUCCUUGUCUACCCUGUGGAAAACGUGUGGUUUUGGCGUGCUUAUGGAGGUGAGCUUACACCAUCUUAAAAUCUCAAGAUCAAACCAUGUAUGUUUGGUUUCUCACAAUGUAAGAAGGUGCCUUGAGACCAAGUACGCCUCGGGUAUAAGCACGGCUUGUGUCAGGGGACAUGCAUACAUUCUAUGACAAGCCUUGGAGUGUGGACACUUCUGAAUUCCCCGGCAUAUUACGGCGCAGACAUUAAAAGGGGAAAUGGUAAGCUCUUUCUGUCAUAGCUGAGCAUUCAGUAUAUCUUACAUAAGGUGACAGCUGUCUGGAAGCAAAAUCAUUGCCACAUCUGCCUAAUGGAACACUGGUAAGAAAGCCAAUCGCAGAAAAACUUCCUGAAACCUGAGUAUUUUUUCACACUAUUCACACAUGAACGUAUUCUAGAUGACACCAGCAUCUACCACUGAUCCUUUCCCUAAAAUACUACUGGAAAAAGCAACAAUGGCAAAAGCAUCUAGCUCGUUAGUGCUAAACUAGCAGAAGGUUCUACGUGUAGCAUAUCAGGCCAAGUGGAGUGAAAUAAGGAACUUCAGUUGCUGCUUAAUUACUGCUUUGGGAAAUAAAUAAUUUGUUUUAAAAUACAAAUGGAACGUU